CGCCGUAGGGGGCCUGAGACGGUGGUCCCCGACACUGGUACUGAGACACGG
rnacentral:rRNA from 13 species